GUCAUUACAUAAUGCAGCCAACAUUAGCCUACAUGCUGCAACACAGGGACCCAGGUUUAGGUUUGACCCAGGGCGCUAACAUGAGCACACAUCUUAAAGUGGUCUCCUUAGCCUCACCUGAGUUGGCAGAACUGGCAAGCUCUCAGGGACAAUGUGCAGCAAAUCCCAGCUACGCCAAGAUGAUAGUCGACUGAAGCGCACCAUGAUCUCAAAGUGGCCAGUGAUUGGCCUUGUUCUACCUUCCC